AGACCAAUCACGCGGCGUAACAGUCUACAGUCCACACUGUAGACUGUAGACUUUGCACUACCGUAGAAACAGGUUCUGCGAAUUCCCCAAAUGUGGGAAUCUCGACUGCAUAAUUUCUGGUAGUGGGGGACUGCGUUCGCGCUCUCCCCUG
ensembl:snRNA U1 U1 spliceosomal RNA